GCAAACUUGGUCAUUUAGAGGAAGUAAAAGUCGUAACAAGGUUUCCGUAGGUGAACCUGCGGAAGGAUCAUUAUCGUAGGGGCCUCGCCCCCUUCGAGAUAGCACCCUUUGUUUAUGAGCACCUCUCGUUUCCUCGGCAGGCUCGCCUGCCAACGGGGACCCACCACAAACCCAUUGCAGUACAAGAAGUACACGUCUGAACAAAACAAAACAAACUAUUUACAACUUUCAACAACGGAUCUCUUGGUUCUGGCAUCGAUGAAGAACGCAGC
rnacentral:misc_RNA from 1 species